rnacentral:rRNA from 1 species
AACGAACGCUGGUGGCAUGCCUAAUACAUGCAAGUCGAACGAGAAAGCACUUCGGUGUGAGUACAGUGGCGCACGGGUGAGUAACGCGUAGGUGAUAUGCCUGAUAGUGGGGGACAACAUCGUGAAAAGAGUGCUAAUACCGCAUAGCUUGGUUGCAAUGGAAAAACCAAGGAAAGGGGGCUUCGGCUCUCGCUAGCAGAUUGGCCUGCGUAGCAUUAGCUUGUUGGUGGGGUAACGGCCUACCAAGGCAACGAUGCUUAGCUGGUCUGAGAGGAUGAUCAGUCACACUGGAACUGAGACACGGUCCAGACUCCUACGGGAGGCAGCAGUAGGGAAUAUUGCGCAAUGGAGGAAACUCUGACGCAGCAAUGCCACGUGAGUGAGGAAGGUCUUCGGAUUGUAAAGCUCUGUCCUAUAGGAAGAACGGCAAAAUGGUUAAUACCCAUUUUGUUUGACGGUACUAUAGAAGAAAGCACCGGCUAACUCCGUGCCAGCAGCCGCGGUAAUACGGAGGGUGCAAGCGUUGUUCGGAUUUAUUGGGCGUAAAGCGCGCGCAGGCGGGCUAGCAAGUCAGAUGUGAAAUCUCGGGGCUUAACCUUGAAACUGCGUCUGAAACUGCUAGCCUUGAGUCUCACAGGGGGUAGGGGAAUUUCACGUGUAGGGGUAAAAUCCGUAGAGAUGUGAAGGAACACCGGUGGCGAAGGCGCCUACCUGGAUGAGCACUGACGCUGAGGCGCGAAAGCGUGGGGAGCAAACAGGAUUAGAUACCCUGGUAGUCCACGCCGUAAACGAUGAGUACUAGCUAUUGGGGGUAUUGACUCCUUCAGUGGCGCAGCUAACGCAUUAAGUACUCCGCCUGGGAAGUACGGUCGCAAGACUAAAACUCAAAGGAAUUGACGGGGGCCCGCACAAGCGGUGGAGCAUGUGGUUUAAUUCGAUGCAACGCGCAGAACCUUACCUAGGCUUGAAAUCCCUCGAAUCCGACGUAAUUGUUGGAGUGCUCGCAAGAGAAUGAGGUGACAGGUGCUGCAUGGCUGUCGUCAGCUCGUGUUGUGAAAUGUUGGGUUAAGUCUCGCAACGAGCGCAACCCCUAUCUUUAGUUGCCAGCAUUAAGUUGGGCACUCUAGAGAGACUGCCCGGGUUAACCGGGAGGAAGGUGGGGAUGACGUCAAGUCCUCAUGGCCCUUAUGCCUUGGGCUACACACGUAAUACAAUGGUAGAUACAAAGGGAAGCGACCGUGCGAACGUUAGCAAAUCCCAAAAAGUCAAUCUCAGUCCGGAUUGGAGUCUGCAACUCGACUCCAUGAAGUUGGAAUCGCUAGUAAUCGUGGAUCAGCACGCCACGGUGAAUACGUUCCCGGGCCUU